rnacentral:rRNA from 1 species
AACGUAGGAGACAAACGUUCUCCGGAGUUACUGGGCGUAAAGGGCGUGUAGGUGGUUUUAUAAGUCUGGCGUGAAAUUUCUCGGCUUAACCGAGGCAGGUCGUCGGAUACUAUGAGACUAGAGGACGGUAGAGGCGUGUGGAAUUCCGGGUGUAGUGGUGAAAUGCGUAGAGAUCCGGAGGAACACCAGUGGCGAAGGCGACACGCUGGGCCGUACCUGACACUGAUGCGCGACAGCAUGGGGAGCAAACAGG